GGAUUACUGGACGACCAACCGCCGGGGGGGGCGCGAAAAGCGUGGGGGAGCAAAACAGGAUUAGAUACCCCUGGUAGUCCCCCCCUGUAAAACGAUCAAUAAUAGGUGUGCGGGGGAGUGACCCCCCUGCGUGCCGGAGUUAACACCAAUAAGUAUUGCACCUGGGGAGUACGAUCGCAAGGUUGAAACUCAAAGGAAUUGACGGGGGCCCGCACAAGCGGUGGAUUAUGUGGUUUAAUUUGAAGCAACGCGAGGAACCUUACCAGGGCUUGACAUCCUGCUAACGAAGUAGAGAUACAUCAGAAACCCUUCGGGGAAAGCAGAGACAGGUGGUGCAUGGUUGUCGUCAGCUCGUGUCGUGAGAUGUUGGGUUAAGUCCCGCAACGAGCGCAACCCCUAUUGUUAGUUGUUACGCAAGAGCACUCUAGCGAGACUGCCGUUGACAAAACGGAGGAAGGCGGGGGGGACGUCAAAUCAUCAUGCCCCCUAUGUCUUGGGGUACACACGUAAUACAAUGGCGGUCAACAGAGGGAUGCAAAGCCGCGAGGCAAAGCGAACCCCCAAAAACCGUCCCAGUUCGGAUAGCAGGCUGCAACCCGCCCGCGUGAAGUCGGAAUCGCUAGUAAUCGCGGAUCAGCAUGCCGCGGCGAAUAUGUUCCCGGGCCUUGUACACACCGCCCGUCA
rnacentral:rRNA from 1 species